rnacentral:rRNA from 1 species
UGCGAUCAUACCAGCACUAAUGCACCGGAUCCCAUCUGAACUCCGCAGUUAAGCGUGCUUGGGCGAGAGUAGUACUAGGAUGGGUGACCCCCUGGGAAGUCCUCGUGUUGCA